rnacentral:rRNA from 1 species
CCUACGGGUGGCAGCAGUGGGGAAUAUUGGGCAAUGGGCGCAAGCCUGACCCAGCAACGCCGCGUGAAGGAAGAAGGCUUUCGGGUUGUAAACUUCUUUUGACAGGGAAGAGCAGAAGACGGUACCUGUCGAAUAAGCCACGGCUAACUACGGGCCAGCAGACGCGGUAAUACGUAGGGGGCAAGCGUUGUCCGGAUUGACUGGGUGUAAAGGGCGUGUAGCCGGGAUGACAAGUCAGGUGUGAAAUCCGGGGGCUAAACCCCCGGACUGCUUUUGAAACUGUUGGUCUUGAGUAUCGGAGAGGCAGGCGGAAUUCCUAGGGUAGCGGUGAAAUGCGUAGAUAUUAGGAGGAACACCAGUGGCGAAGGCGGCCUGCUGGACGAAAACUGACGGUGAGGCGCGAAAGCGUGGGGAGCAAACAGGAUUAGAUACCCCGGUAGUC